rnacentral:misc_RNA from 1 species
GAUGAAGAACGUAGCGAAAUGCGAUAAGUAAUGUGAAUUGCAGAAUUCAGUGAAUCAUCGAAUCUUUGAACGCACAUUGCGCCCGCUAGUAUUCUGGCGGGCAUGCCUGUCCGAGCGUCAUUUCAACCUCAAGCCCCCGGGCUUGGUGUUGGGGAUCGGCGAGCCUCCGCGCCCGCCGUCCCCUAAAUCUAGUGGCGGUCUCGCUGUAGCUUCCUCUGCGUAGUAGCACACCUCGCACUGGGAAACAGCGCGGCCACGCCGUUAAACCCCCAACUUCUGAACGUUUGACCUCGGAUCAGGUAGGAAUACCCGCUGAACUUAAGCAUAUCAAUAAGCGGAGGA